UACAGAGGGUGCGAGCGUUAAUCGGAAUUACUGGGCGUAAAGCGUGCGCAGACGGUCAUGUAAGUCGGGUGUGAAAGCCCCGGGCUCAACCUGGAGACGCCACCCGAUACUGCCAUGGCUAGAGUCCGGUAGGGGACCACGGAAUUCCUGGUGUAGCGGUGAAAUGCGCAGAUAUCGGGAGGAACACCGGUGGCGAAGGCGGUUCUCUGGGCCUUACCUGACGCUGAGGAGCGAAAGCGUGGGGGAGCGAACAGG
rnacentral:rRNA from 1 species